CAACAGGGAUUGCCUUAGUAACGGCGAGUGAAGCGGCAAAAGCUCAGAUUUGAAAUCUGGUGUAGUAAAUGACACCCGAGUUGUAAUCUGUAGAGGAGUUUUCGGAGAAUGACUUUGGUUAAAGUUCCUUGGAAAAGGGCAUCAUAGAGGGUGAGAAUCCUGUUUAUGACCUUUGUACUUCUCCUUUAUGAAUCUCCUUCAAUGAGUCGAGUUGUUUGGGAAUGCAGCUCUAAAUGGGUGGUAAAUUCCAUCUAAAGCUAAAUAUUGGCAAGAGACCGAUAGCGCACAAGUAGAGUGAUCGAAAGAUGAAAAGAACUCUGAACAGAGAGUUAAAGAGUACGUGAAAUUGUUGAAAGGGAAGCACUUGUGACCAGACAAAUUUGCAAUUAAUCAGCCAUCAGUUUUGGUGGUGCACUUGAUUGUAGGUGGGUCAGCAUCAGUUAUAGCAGUGGGACAAAGAUCCAAAGAAUGUAGCUCCUCUUUGAGGAGUGUUAUAGCUUUUGGUUUAAUACCGCUUGCCAUAACUGAGGAUAGCAC
rnacentral:rRNA from 1 species